ACGAGGGCGUCGUGCCUUUAUAAGACUACGUUAAUGGCGUUAAUGUUUCCGUGGAGUUAUCCCUUUCAGUUGUUGUUUAUUGAUUGUUAAACAUGGCUUCAUUUGCAAAGGUGGUUGUGUGUUUCCUCAUUGCUUGUGUCUGUAAUUCAUUCUGUUUUGCGAAGAGAGAUGUGAACUUUAAGGCAUAUGCAGUUGACCGCCAAAGUGAUGUGGUUGUCACCACAACACCCAAUCCCCACAGCCAGACCACAUCUGCCCAUACUGAAGCUGGUGGUGGUGCAAGUGAAGAUGCUACCACCCUAGCACCAAAUCCCCAUAAACAAACUACAUCAGGCCACACUGCAGCUACUGAUGAUCCCAGUGAAGAUGCUUUGGCUACCACCCCAACACCACAUCCCCCAACUACAUCUGACCACACUGCAGCUACCGAUGAUCCAAGUGAAGAUGCUGUGGCUACCACCCCAACACCAAAUCCCCCAACUACAUCUGACCACCCUGCAGCUACCGAUGAUCCAAGUGAAGAUGCUUUGGCUACCACCCCAACACCACAUCCCCCAACUACAUCUGACCACACUGCAGCUACCGAUGAUCCAAGUGAAGAUGCUUUGGCUACCACCCCAACAUCACAUCCCCCAACUACAUCUGACCACACUGCAGCUACCGAUGAUCCAAGUGAAGAUGGUUUGGCUACCACCCCAACAUCACAUCCCCCAACUACAUCUGACCACACUGCAGCUACCGAUGAUGCAAGUGAGGGUGCUGUGGCUGUCCAAACUGGAACUACUGUAUCCCAUACGACUGAAGUCUGAUUCGACUGCUCCUCUGGUCACAAUGACCUGAGUCACUGUCUGGACUUUUUGCCUCUACAUGUUGACUGCAAUAAAGGACAGAUAAUUAUUAUUAUUA
ensembl:lncRNA